UACGUAGGGUGCGAGCGUUAAUCGGAAUUACUGGGCGUAAAGCGUGCGCAGGCGGUUUUGUAAGCCAGAUGUGAAAGCCCUGGGCUCAACCUGGGAACGGCAUUGGAAACUGGCUUACUAGAGUGCGGUAGAGGGGUGUGGAAUUCCCGGUGUAGCAGUGAAAUGCGUAGAUAUCGGGGAGGAACAUCUGUGGCGAAGGCGACACCCUGGACCAGCACUGACACUGAGGCACGAAAGCGUGGGGAGCAAACAGG
rnacentral:rRNA from 1 species